GGUACUGUUCAGAUGCACCCGGUAGGAUCUUCGUUAACCUCUGAUCCUUUUGUUAGUUCUUCGGUUGGGAGUUUCCUUAAUCCUUUAUUUGCGUCGCUUUCUAGAGCAAGUUCUUCUAAUCCUGCCCUUUACGCGGACUCUUCUGACGAUGACUCUCCUGCUCAGUGGCCGUACCCACCGACUGGUAAACUCCAUGCUCAACGUGAUCCGUUUGCUUCACCGCGUUGGACUCCUCUUAUGGAUAUUCACUCUCCUGGUCUCCAUACUAUUGGUGAAUUAAUCUGCCUUUUCUCCAUCUUCUGUUGGUCAUCCUACCUAUAAUGCUGGCGAUUUUGAGGAUGGGUCGACUUUGUCUCUGCUUAUUGAUAACAUACCUGCUGCGCCAGCAUUGCCUUUACAUACAGGGUCUCGCAGGUUGCAUCCAGUUCAUGGUACCCCUUUUAUGCCUGCCCGUACAGCUACAUCGAUUCGUUGACUGCGUAUGCUCAUGCGACGCCAUCGUUCCUUCAUCAGAGCUGGUUAUCGUUUUACUGGCCGGUCUUCCUAUGUCUGAGCAGUUUGUUAACGUCCUCAAGCGUUCGUGGCCUAGCAGGUCAUAUUUCGGUGCUCCUCAUCAUGUGUGUAAGCGUUGUGGUGCUUCCUUCUGAUACCGAGAGCGGAAUAGGAAUCUCAGCACAGCAAAGAAAAUUGUCUAUACAGGUUGCCGUCGUGCUGGACUGCUGGGAAGGUGUCCCUCCCGGUUUAUCAAAAUUAGCCUUCUCCUUUAGCCGAGCUACUUCGUUUUGACGGUGACGCCCAGUGUGAUAAGUUCAUGCGUCUGAUUCGUGAAUACAAUUCAAUGUUUGCCUUCACAUCUCUCGGUGUUCAUGUUGACCGCAGUGUUAAUGUCGGCCCUGGUCCUUAUGUUUUCAAGAUAUGUGGAGUUGUUUGCCAUGAAAUUGGUUUU